GUGAAAAGUUUAAAUGACGAUAGGUGGAUCUGAAAGGCCUCAUCAGCUUCCCACCUUCGGAUAUUUCAUUACGUUAAGCACGCGAAACGAAGGUCUGGCGCACCAGGAAAAAAACAAGGAUCUUUACUGGUUUUAGAGCACCCCACCAUCUACCUCGUUCGGCUCCCUGUAUUUUCUACCUGAAACAUUUCUCUUCCUCUGUGUACAGUGUGUAACAGAUUUUGAUCUCGGUUUCAGCUCGCCGUUACCCCCUUUGUGGUGGACCUCUGGUAAGCUGAGUGUUUAACACAGCAAAACGCUUCAAUCAAAACAAAAUUACAAACGAAUUAUUUUUCAAACUACAAACUUCUCAAACAAGGACAAGAUUCCGAUCAUCAGAGGGACGUUACAAGAAGAAGCGGUCUUGGGGUGUUUUGAGCCGUUUCAACAAAGUAAUCAUUCUUUUUUCACCAAAACAUAAUCCAGGCGGCUGAACCAAGUUCUACUUGAUCAAUUCUACCCUGAAAGUGCGUCCCGGACUCAUAAAACUGGACUAGCUGUGACUGGGACCUUCUGAUAGACUCCAAAUUGCUCGCCGAGAUUAAAAUGCAAGCAGUUUUGUUUUCAGUGUUGAUUGUGACAGGACUACGAUACAAAUGUUUACUCGUGACAAAUGUUUAAUGUUAAAAAUGGGCAGGUUGACUGGGCUAAACUGCCACUCUGCGUGCUAAGUCCGUGCCUUUCCCCCGUACUCACACGUGUUGAGUAGCGGCUGGUACUCCAGCAGCUGUCCGUGUGGGACUGCCAGUCUCCAAGAUUUCUCAGAGCGGAGGAAACCAACGGUUUUGUUUUUUUUGGGAGGGGGGGAAGGUGGGGGUCGAUGCCAAUUUCAAGUUCCACCAGGAUAUUUUUUUCUCUCUGACAGAUGAACUCCAGUUGAUAAAUUCUGCGUGGUUUCCUUUUCUAUUGUGUUUGCCUUCCUUGUUUUAAGCUGUUCUGGAGAAUUGUUUUGUAACUGUCAAAACACGCUGAGUCUGUUCAUUGACGGAAUACAAGUAGUUCAAAUACCUCUGUAAAAAAAAAGAGACUGUAUAAAAUUGUAUUGUUCGGACAUGGCUCGUUUUCAAGUGUGAAUAUGUGUUAACUUUAUUUCCAUGUGCGUUCAUUUAUUAAACUUUGAGUAAGUGAAUUGAAGCCGGGACCCGGAUUGUGGACAUUUCCUGCCGUUUUGGGGUUUAGCAAAUUGGUAGACCGUCCAACCAAAAUAUUGUACAUUAGAGCAUGUCCGCAUUCAUUAGUUAUGAAUGUCUUGUUUCAACUGUAACAAAAGUGAUUUAUUUAAGAGACGAUUGGGAAUGAGAAGGAAAUGCUAGAUACCCGCCUAGACAGCAGUGAGGGGAGGAAUAACUACCAGCAGACCAGUGGCGCUUCUUCCAAGGAGUAAGGCCCUGUCCAGUCUCUAGAGCUCGGGCCUUUCAUUAUGGUGACAAUAAAUGUUUCUUACUUCCCCCUCAAGUUUUCACAUGCCGACGGGUUCUUUCUCUCUGACUAUUCCACUGACUAGAUCUUUUAUGUGUUUCUGCUGGCCCUGGGCUCGCGUGUAUAUGUUAUUGAGCUGCAUGUCUCUCCCUCUGCACCCCCCCCGGCGCCUGUCCUAACAAUUGACGAUUUUUGAAACGACUGUUUGCCGACAUAUCAGCUGCAAGAAGCUUCCUUCGCAGCCUCACUCUGACUGUUUACCAGGGGACAGUAACAAGUUGGGUAUUUGAGGGGGAUUGCUUUUAAAUUGAGUUCCGUGUCUGUGCGUAACAUUCGGUAUUUUCUCAUCUGGGGAGCAGGGGAUUCCAACAGGGAUUACGGGGUAGAGAAAGCGGCCGUAUUCCGCUGUGUCUGUCAGACCUGCCGAUCUCGGUUAUGUCGGCUGUGGGAUGUGUACAUGACAUUAUCUGGUCGGCGGUACCCACCAGACCGUUUCCCGGCCACUCACUUCCCCAUUCACAAAAUCGCGGGUUGGCGAGCCCAGGUCUGAAGUGUCCCCUCAAGGUUUCUGUCAUUAUUUCCUUGGUACACCGACUCUGCCUCACCCAUCACUCUCAAGUGUUUCGAUGUGGUUUGCCUCUCUGGGAAUAAAGGGCGCCUGAACCGAAUAAGAUUUCACCCGAAAUUGCCCAAGCCGUGAAUUUCCGCCGGUCAAAUGUCAAUUUCAGGCCGGGGAGACCCACCAGAUUGGAAUAUAACGUCGACAUGAACGUUACAGAAUUAAAUCUGGCCGGAGUUGAGUUGGAUACAAACUUCCAGAAGGAAUUGUGAAAAAAAAAGAUUGGAUAGAAGUCUGUCUUGUAAUCGUUCAGUUGACAAAAUUAACAGAGCCGCCCGUGGCAUUAGGAAUGAUGUGACUUUACACCAUCACAGUUCUGCGUCUGGUGCAGAAAGCAUGUUGACAAAUCCCUGAAAGUGCGGCAUUUUUAAAAUUUACCCGGAUAUGACACUGAGAAGACAUAGCCGUCUUUUCUCAGGCCUGUGAAAUGAAUCCGUUCCAAGGUGCCUGCUAUCUGAGAGGGAGCACUCGCCGGCUAAUGUUUCCAUGGCUGGAAUAUUUGUAAAGUUAGCGCAUAAUCUGAAAGUAGAAACUAAUAAAUUAUUGGGUGCUAAUUGGGGCUGGAGUCGGGCCGUCAGCGAGAGCCAAUUCCACUACCCAGUCCUCAUACCCUAAAAAGGAAAGGGAGCGCGUCCGAAGCAGCACCGUUGCCAGCAAGAAAUGACCCGCUUUACAUUUCAAACCGAGCAGGCAAUCUCAGAUGGCAUGGUGUGCUCCCUGAAGGCCAAACAGGACAACACUGUAUUACAGCUGCGCUUCACAAGAACACAGUUUCCAGUUAAAAUUGCUUCUGUCUUCGAUUCAGUCCGAGUUUCUGAGCCGUCCAUGACUACUCAAUAUACGAGGGCUGGUUUCAAAUAUCUCGCGUGCAGCCCCGAGGACGGGCCACGAUUUUCAGCAAAAAGAGCAUUUCCUGACCACUCCUGCCUUUGUUUAGCUUUGAUGGAGGUGAGAGCAGAAAAAGGUAUAAAUAUCGUAAUAGAUGUACAGGAAAGAGUUGGAGAAAGGAGGCCUGAGUAGGACUGGAAUAAGGGAUAUUCAACACAUCCUACAAAAGACUGACAGGACCCAUAUGGAUACUCAUAACAGCAUCAUUCUCUCAGCUCUAGCCAUGACAUUGUAGUCAAACCUCACCGUUAAGAGUGAGGCAGUUGCUGUGUAGUGCUCCAAUCUUAAACCUGCAGGAGCUGAGCACAGACUCUCAGACAUUUCUUCCUACCGUCACUAGACCAAGGCACCACUGUGGAUAAGCAAAAAGAGUGAGAUGUUCAAGUACAGGAAUUAUUUCAAGCUAGUGGACAGGUUAAAAAAUAUAUACAUAUAAUGUGAGGUGGUGUGGCACACAGGAUUUGCAACUAACAUACUGUAUUAGCUCUCAUGACAUAAACAUAAAUAUGAGACAUAGGUCACAUGUUGAAGAAUUCAAUGAACUUUGAUUGCAGCUUCUGGUAUUUGCAUAUGUACACUCCAAUUACAAACGCUUGAAUGUCUAGGCUCAAGCUAAGCAAUUCAGAUGUAUUAUAGCACUCUUCUGUCUGUAGGUGAUGCUACAAGAGGGACAGAGCUCAGUAAGAAGUAGACUGAGCUUUAUACCAUUGGUUCACAUGCAAUGAGAAUGUCAUGAGCAUGUCCCUUAAGCAUUUAUUGUAUAUUUGCUGCAAGACAUAACACAACAGAAGAGUUAUAAUGGAAUUUUAACCUUUAUCUGAAGAGAGCUGGAAUGCAACGGCUGAAGUAAUAUUACAGCUGAACAGGGUUGUUUAGAUACCUUCAGGGUACUGCAGUCAGUCAUCACAUCUUUGAGAAGGAGCAGUACAGAUUUACCAAAGGGUGCCAGGGUUAAAAGGAUUAAAAAUAUAAGACAGGGUGUUUGACAUUAUUAAAAAUUAAUUGUUGCUUAUUAUAUUGAUUGUCAUAUUUUUAUGCAAUUAUUUUUAAUUAUCAUUAUCAUUAUCACAGCAUCAUUCAAAUACCUCAGAUUAAAUUUUCUAUUUGUUUUGGAAUGUUUAUUACACAAUAAUUUAUUUUAUUGUUGUCAAUCAAUGCAUUAUGCUGCCCAGUAAGGGAGGUGUGGGCUGCUGCUGAAUGGGGAUUUGGAGUUGCUUUUACCUGAAUCACAGUCGGAUAAGUUAUUCACAAACAGAUCAGCCAGCAAAGAGUUGCCUAGAAUGUUGCUGCUCCUGCUCUUUCUCUUUGAACUUUUCCUCUUGCGCUUCAGCUGUUCCUCACAGAGCUGGUUGCAAGGGUUGUCCCACUAUGAUGAAGCCAGCAUCAAAACACCAUGAACCUUGAUACACAUUCUACUGAGUAUUGCAAGACGCCUGUUGCAAAGUCCAAGCACUGUAGGUGUUGAUUUAGCAUGCUAAUUGUCGGCUCAAUCACAUUUUAUGUGGUACAGCAUGGCUUUCAUUUUAUAUAUGCUGGAAAGGGGUGCAUGGAUA